AUCCAGUUGACGCGUUCCAAAUAGGACGAAACGCGCGUCCUGGAU
rnacentral:hammerhead_ribozyme from 1 species